AUAAGGCAAGAAAAAGGCAGUGCAUAUAUUGGAUGGUAAGAGCCUCCAACCCCACCACAAGUGACAUAACAAGACCAGAAAUACAACCUUCCCAUUUCACUCCCCAUUCCCAUCACACUUCUUUUCAUUUUCAAUCACAUUUCUUCACACCAAAAAAGACUCUUCCACCACAGCAUAUAAAAGAAACCUUCAAGUUUGGGUUUUUCUUGUUAUACUUGGUGCUUUUGCUUCUUUUGAGCUAUAUUCUCUAUCCCUCCUCACCUUUCUUCAUCAUUUCCAAGAUUGAGUUUUUGGGGUGCGAAAACAAUAAGUCUUGAGAAGAAAGAAUUAAGGGAUAUAUAUUGAUCAGAGAGGAGAAACUAAAGGAGGAAAACGGGAUUGAAGAAGAGUGAAAUGCAAAGUAAUUGUUUUGUUUCUUGGUGCGGCAUUUGGAAGCUGAAUUUGCAUUCUCAUCAUCACCUCCAAAACUUGCAACAGCUUUACAAGCAAUAUAGUUGGAUUUCCCGCGAUGACGUCUUAUGGUUUUGGCACUGAAUGUAGACAGCAUUUGUGAAUAUAUAACAUAGCAUUGAACUGAAUUUUGAGUUCAUCCCGCCAAGAUAGAAGCUCCUCUCACUUGCUGCUUAAGGCCUCUCUGUUCCUAGUAGAUUCUUGGAACUUCUUC